UGAGCGAAUCUUCGACUAUUCUCUGGGAAAAGGAUUGAAGUUACGGCUCCAUCAGUUACAAUACCACAAGUUGAUUAUUGAUCAAGUUAUUCGAAAAAAUCGGAAAAAAAAAUUUCCGUGUUUGCUUGCAAUUUACAAGUAAACUAAUUUUUAUAAAAUUUUGAAAUAGUUUAGAUCUCUUUACGACGAACAACUUUUGUACGAAAACUUUUUCCGAAAAGUUUAAAGAAAAAAAGUUAUAUUGCGAAAUAUGGGUUUUUCAAUUUUCAAGAAUUUUUUGCGGCCAAACCCGUUCGAAAAAAAUGUUAGACUUUUGAGAGUAGCUUUCUACUGGUCUAAAGAAAAUUUGAAAAAAUCGGCCAGCCUAUGUUCUUCCACAUUAAUAUAGACGCCAUUUUCUGCUUAAUUCGACUGAACUAUUCUGAAAUUUGGCGAUUCCGAAUGGAAUGACCCUUAUUUAUCUACCAUGGCUGAUUGCUGUUCGGAACAAAGCCGGAUAUCUUAUAAAUAAUCAGUUAGGUGUCAAGAUGGUUGGCUAGCCCACGCGAUAAAAUCCUCCGUUCGCAAUGCGUACUAAUUCCAUAUUUUCUGAGGUGUAUGACGAGAUAACGAAAGACGAACAGUUAAGAGAUUUUUGACCUAAUUAUUAAUCCCCAGAUCUGCCAACUAUUUUUAUCACUGGACACUCCGAGGUUCACGUUGUCUUUUUCCUCGAGAAUCGACUGGUUGUAUCGAUCUCCCUGGGGUUCGAUGUUCGUAAGGAUCAUUUUCAUUUUGAUUUUCUGCUUUCCGCACAACGUGGAUUCUCCGUUGUGGAGGCUUCCUUCGGUCUCGCUUUUGGCGAUAGUGAUUAUCGCGGUCAGAAUUUCUUCAGCUUGAUCCAACGAGGUAGCCAAGAUCAGUUUACCUAAACAAGCUGAAUAACAUUUCUUCACACGUCGAUUUUGCAAACUUAGAAAGUUAGCGUAGCCCUUGAUCAAUUAAUGAACCACGUCGAUGCGUAUGUAGCGCGACCGAGAUGCU